rnacentral:rRNA from 1 species
AUGACGACAACCAGAGAAGGAUGCAUUGGAUGGCAUGGUGAAAAAUGUGUCCUGAAAAGCCAAGGCGGAAUGGGCUUUCGUGACAUUCAUUGUUUUAAUUUGGCGAUGCUGGCUAAACAAGCUUGGCGUCUCCUUGAGAACUCAGAUUCCUUGUGUGCUACCAUUUUGCGAGCUAAGUAUUUCCUUGAUGGAGAUUUAUUGUGCAAAGUUAAAAAAGGAUCAUCCUUCACAUGGCAAAGUAUUAUGACGGGGGUUAUACCUUAA